rnacentral:tRNA from 1 species
GAGGGUAUAGCUCAGUGGUAGAGCACAUGCUUAGCAUGCACCAGGUCCUAGGUUCAACCCCCAGUACCUUCA